rnacentral:rRNA from 1 species
AUACGGAAGGGGGCUAGCGUUGUUCGGAAUUACUGGGCGUAAAGCGCAUGUAGGCGGACAUUUAAGUCAGGGGUGAAACUCCCGGGGCUCAACCUCGGAACUGCCUUUGAUACUGGGUGUCUAGAGUGUGGAAGAGGUAAGUGGAAUUCCGAGUGUAGAGGUGAAAUUCGUAGAUAUUCGGAGGAACACCAGUGGCGAAGGCGGCUUACUGGUCCAUUACUGACGCUGAGGUGACGAAAGCGUGGGGAGC